rnacentral:lncRNA from 1 species
CUCUAGUGCCAGAGAAGUCCCUCUCAGGUUUGUUCUGAAAUAAACUUACCCUGUUGAGCUCAUACCUUUGUUUCUUUUCAUCCUUUUCUCCUAACACAGGCAUGUGGAAAGUAGGACCAGACUGGAGGUAGAUGCCCGAUGGAUUUAUCACAAGAGUAUGCAGCCAUCAGAAAUACAAGGCCUUUCCCAGAAAAUUGUCGGUACCACGUGAAAUAAUCAGAAGCACUGCUCCUAUACGUGCAGUUCAGAGAGACGAUGGCUCCUUCCAGAACAUUGCAGGACUCAGGAC